rnacentral:tRNA from 2 species
GCUCCCUUCGUCUAGUGGCCUAGGACACCGGCCUCUCACGCCGGUAACAGGGGUUCGAGUCCCCUAGGGAGCG